UGGGGAAUAUUGCACAAUGGGCGCAAGCCUGAUGCAGCCAUGCCGCGUGUAUGAAGAGGCCUUCAGGGUUGUAAAGUACUUUCAGCGAGGAGGAAGGUGUUGUGGUUAAUAACCGCAGCAAUUGACGUUACUCGCAGAAGAAGCACCGGCUAACUCCGUGCCAGCAGCCGCGGUAAUACGGAGGGUGCAAGCGUUAAUCGGAAUUACUGGGCGUAAAGCGCACGCAGGCGGUCUGUCAAGUCGGAUGUGAAAUCCCCGGGCUCAACCUGGGAACUGCAUCCGAAACUGGCAGGCUAGAGUCCUGUAGA
rnacentral:rRNA from 1 species